rnacentral:miRNA from 1 species
GUGUAUGUGUGUGUGUGUGUGUGUAUGUAUGUGUGUGUAUAUAUAUAUAUAUACACACAUACAUACAUACACACACACACACACAC